ensembl:lncRNA
AUCAGUGUUUCCAUUUAGCCAUGGAACCUUUCCAUUCCUUUUCUAAUGCUUUACCAGGUUUUCCAGAUCAGAAAUAAAAAGAGACUUUUAUAAACAUUCAAGUGAUAAUAUAAAACAUAGACUUUUAACACAUCAUGAUGUAUCCAUAUUGCACAGUAUGAGAGUAAAUGUUUGUUUUUAAGUGUGCAAAGUGUAGGUUUGUGUUUGUGCAAUUCUUAAUUUUGAUUCAUUGAAGUACGUACUGUACUAUAGUAUACUGUAAGGACACAACUAGAGUCUGUAUCUCAAGCACAGCUAUGCAUGCAUACAAGGAAGUAAAACCAUUAAAUUGCAGGUUCAUGACACAAAACAUACCAUGCAGUGAACAAAUUUAACAAACUGGUUUAAGGCUGUUUUUGCGAAAGUAUGUUUGUUCCAGUCAUGGUCCGCCCACAUUUAUCAAUAAUAUAUAAGAUUGAGAUGUGCAGUUCAGCAUCACUAUGUUCUGGUUGAACUGUUGAAGAGAGAAUCACCUCUGCUUUACUCUACAGCAGCAUUUCAUCUCAGAUCACUUUGACAUCUCCAGGAGCAGUUUGCCACAAUGAGGUUUCUAAUCUCAUUGUGUGUGUCACUACUCCUGUUGAUUACUGAGCAGAGCACCCUUCACAUGACCACCACCAGACAAAUCCACCCAGCUGUGUUUUAUCCAUUUGGACCUGGGGACACAGAGAAUGGACGUUCUGAUGAUGGGAGCUCAUCUGUGAUCUAUCUUUUGCAACAGUUCAUAUUUUUUGGACAAUCAUAUAGUCAAAUAUAUGUAAGUCAGUGUACCUGAAUGAGAUGAAUCUGAAAAUAACUAUUACUUGCAUUUAUUAUUUAUGUCAAAACUUUAUUUUCAAAUGGUUAUUUUGUUUAUGUAU